CCCUUAGAUGUUCUGGGCUGCACGCGCGCUACACUGUCGGAUUCAGCGAGUCAUAUCCUUAACCGAAAGGUUUGGGUAAUCUUUUGAAAGUCCGACGUGAUGGGGAUUGAUCAUUGCAAUUAUUGAUCAUGAACGAGGAAUUCCUAGUAAGCGCGAGUCAUCAGCUCGCGUUGAUUACGUCCCUGCCCUUUGUACACACCGCCCAUCGCUACUACCGAUUGAAUGGUUUAGUGAGAUCUUCGGAUUGGCGCCUACGCGGCUUCUCUGAGGCCACGCUGGAUGCCGAAAAGUUGCUCAAACUGUAUCAUUUAGAGGAAGUAAAAGUCGUAACA
rnacentral:rRNA from 1 species